rnacentral:rRNA from 1 species
GACGAACGCUGGCGGCGUGCUUAACACAUGCAAGUCGAACGAUGAAGCCGGAGCUUGCUCUGGUGAAUUAGUGGCGAACGGGUGAGUAACACGUGAGUAACCUGCCCUUGACUCUGGGAUAACUGCUAGAAAUGGUAGCUAAUACCGGAUACGACCCUCGGAGGCAUCUCCAGGGGGUGGAAAGAAUUUCGGUCAAGGAUGGACUCGCGGCCUAUCAGCUAGUUGGUGAGGUAACGGCUCACCAAGGCGACGACGGGUAGCCGGCCUGAGAGGGUGACCGGCCACACUGGGACUGCGACACGGCCCAGACUCCUACGGGAGGCAGCAGUGGGGAAUAUUGCACAAUGGGCGCAAGCCUGAUGCAGCAACGCCGCGUGAGGGAUGAAGGCCUUCGGGUUGUAAACCUCUUUUAGCAGGGAAGAAGCGAAAGUGACGGUACCUGCAGAAAAAGCACCGGCUAACUACGUGCCAGCCGCCGCGGUAA